UCCCUGGUAGUAUAUCGGUUAGUACACGCGCCUGUCAUUACGAAAGUACUCUGGAUAUCCUGCGCGCGAAAGCUGGGUUCGACUCCCAGCCAGGGAG